CAGAACAUUAAACCACAUCUAAGUAGC
rnacentral:piRNA from 1 species